ensembl:lncRNA
CCGCGGUCAGUUUGAAUAGCUUUGCAGCUUUAAUGCAGUAACACUCUUCAAGCGAGAAGCUGCUAUGGUGGAGAUUUCCUCAAAACAUUGCUUAACAGGCCUGUUGGCAGAGGGUGGGACCAAUGAGGAGGAGAUUUAUAGAUUAAAUUCUGUAUCCAACAGUGACUACUUCACAUUGUGCUGGAUAUGAUUUGUGUAUGUUUAUAUAUACGGACACACUGCUGCCCCGGGUACGAUUGGAGUUGUGUUUCUGUGAUACAGUCCUGUCUGAGAAAGCAACUACUUUGGUGGCACCAUUGCUCCCACAUGUCCCUGAAAAGUUUGACGUCUGCGAAGAAUUGAAUGACAUUCCUUCACGUCUUGUCACAUUGAUCUCAAAGGUGUGGUCUUGUUAGAGGCUGUCAUCACAAUUUCAGUGUUCUCCGUUCCAUUUCCAAAAAUGUGUACCCUAAGUCUCCCAUCCAUUUGUCCUUCUAGAUCAUUUUUGUAUUCAAAGUGUUUGUUCUAUAAAAGGUAAGAUCUCCCUUUUAGCCUUUAAGUUCAAUCUGCACUGUACUGCUGAAGAUACUUCAUACAGACAGGCAGUCCUUACAGUCUCUGUGCGCACAAGGAGCUGGAGAGAAAGUUUAAUAUUUGUGCAAGCUUUGUUUUCCAGUUAAAAGAUAACAUUUUUUCCUUUUGUUCUCCUUAAUUCAGAGCGGUGUAUGAAAUUCCUUAUCGUCUGCUUUCAGUCCCUCUCAAUCUCUUCCAGUUAUUUCCUUCUGAGCGCGGGGAAAAUCCUGACCAUGAAUCAAACCCAGUGGGACGCCGGGUUCUUUCAACAAUACAUCUGGCUCAUAUCCCAAUGUCGACUGACUGUAUCACGAUGAAAACAUGAUGCAUUAUUGAUAUUGGAAGGUGCAAAACCUCCAGAAAAUCUCCAUAAUAUCCUAAAUAAUGUGAGGGAAAUGCUUCAGAGUUUGAAAAUCAGAGCUCCGCAGACAAUGUGCCGUUCCACUGAUAAAAGCGAUUUGAAACCAUGGCCUAAUAUGCUGCCUGAGGGACAGAUUGAAAUGUACGUAUAAACAAAGUACAAUAAACUAAACUGAGUGAGCUUCUUAUCGUUUUAAAUCAUCUCAGUUUGCUUUUCGGUUUUCCUUUUUAUGGCAACAGGACAAAACUUUCUGAAAGCUAAACAAAGUCUCCUAUAAUUGUUUCUCCAUCUGCCUGUCCUAAUUAAAUCAACCUAGGUUAAUAAACACACACACACAUGCACACACAGGGAACAUAAUAUGGUUAUUUAAUAUUGACCAGCCAUGUGGGAAUCUGUGCUACAUGAUUAUUAUUUGUCACACAGCUCCCAGUAGCUGUGCAGUGUGAGCAUGGGCCUCAUAAAGGCUGAACAUCUCAGUUUAAUGUGGUGUUUAAUCCACCAGUAUGCACAAGAUCUUUAAUUGAAAUUAUAUUUUUAAUGCUGAAAUAUGAUUGUUGUUGUUAUCCAUUCAUUUUCAAGUUUACAGUUAAAAAAAGCAGAAUAAAAUGCAAUAAAACACACAAUUAUUCUUGCUUAAGAUGCCAAAUGUAAUUACAUUUAUCAGGCAAAAGAAAUAAAUAAAUUAGUUGAAGUGUUUAAAUUUCAUGCUUGGUUCAUUGCUGGCUUUUCAGAGAAGUCCAGUCCCAAGUUUGGGUUAAAGAAAAGUAUAAUUUGUUUAUCUUUAAACAAGUUUUUGACAGAUUUCUGAAAUAUUUGGAUGUUUUUAUGACUGGUGGUCCUAUAAAUUUGUACAGUGUUGUUACGCUGUAACUGUUUUAGCUUUUGGAAUUUUGCGUUUAAUGCCCGGCAGCGUCCACUUAAACACCCUUGGUGAACAUCAGUGAGGUCUAACCUGUCAUACAGCUGUUAUGCAAAUAUUUGUUUCCGAAAAUCUUAAAUAAAAUGCUUUAUAAACUGCAGGAAUCUGGGUUUAAAUAAAGAAAAAUAAACAAAAACACCCCAAAAAAUAAAAAUUGUGAGCACAGCUGCUUUCAUAGUAUGUCUGUGUACACAGUCUACUGAUUUUGAUAAAGAGAGUUAAAUGAAAAUAAAGAGCUAAUCUCCUCAUGAAUCACCAGAAUGUAAUAUACUGGACAUCAGUGCAUUUCUGUGAGCUUUGAGAUUGGCGCAUCUGAUUAUCACACCAGCUCAAUCUCUCCUUCAAAGAGCCAUAUUAAUUUUGAUUGCUUUGUAUCGCUGGCUGUUAUCGCUCAUGCU